rnacentral:rRNA from 1 species
GACGAACGCUGGCGGCGUGCUUAACACAUGCAAGUCGAACGAAGAGCGAUGGAAGCUUGCUUCUAUCAAUCUUAGUGGCGAACGGGUGAGUAACGCGUAAUCAACCUGCCCUUCAGAGGGGGACAACAGCUGGAAACGACUGCUAAUACCGCAUACGAUCUAACCUCGGCAUCGAGGAUAGAUGAAAGGUGGCCUCUACAUGUAAGCUAUCACUGAAGGAGGGGAUUGCGUCUGAUUAGCUAGUUGGAGGGGUAACGGCCCACCAAGGCGAUGAUCAGUAGGGGGGCGGGGAGGGCGGAAGGACAGAUGGGGACUGGUACAAGGGGCAGAGUCGUGCGGGUGGCAGCGGUGGGGGAUGUGCCGGAAUGGACGGGAGUCUGACGGCGGAACGGCGCGGGAGUGAUGACGGCCUUCGGGUUGGAAAGCGGUGUGAGUGGGGGCGAAAGGCGUGAGUGGGAAGAGUGAGAGGGAGGGACGGUAGCGGAAGAGAAAGCCACGGCUAACUACGUG